GACGGAAGGUGCAAGCGUUGCUCGGAAUUACUGGGCGUAAAGGGCGCGUAGGCGGAUAGUUUAGUCAGAGGUGAAAGCCCAGGGCUCAACCUUGGAACUGCCUUUGAUACUGGCUAUCUUGAGUUCGGGAGAGGUGAGUGGAAUGCCGAGUGUAGAGGUGAAAUUCGUAGAUAUUCGGCGGAACACCAGUGGCGAAGGCGACUCACUGGCCCGAUACUGACGCUGAGGCGCGAAAGCGUGGGGAGCAAACAGG
rnacentral:rRNA from 1 species